rnacentral:tRNA from 1 species
GCGGGGGUACCUUAACCCAAACCAUAACCCUGAAAAUGUUAAAACAAACCCUAAAAAUUCCGGCAGGCA